rnacentral:tRNA from 1 species
GUAGACGCUACGGACUUAAAAUCCGUUGGCUUUAUAGACCAUGAGGGUUCAAGUCCCUCUACCCCCA